UACGUAGGGGGCAAGCGUUGUCCGGAAUCAUUGGGCGUAAAGAGCGUGUAGGCGGUCCGGUAAGUCGGCUGUGAAAGUCCAGGGCUCAACCCUGGGAUGCCGGUCGAUACUGCCGGACUAGAGUUCGGAAGAGGCGAGUGGAAUUCCCGGUGUAGCGGUGAAAUGCGCAGAUAUCGGGAGGAACACCUAUGGCGAAGGCAGCUCGCUGGGACGUUACUGACACUGAGAGACGAAAGCUAGGGGAGCAAAUGGG
rnacentral:rRNA from 1 species